AUACUCUAUAAACAAAGCUAACACUCGCUCAUCGAGUUAUUCUUCUGGUGAAACUUUUAUGUGCUACAAAUAACUAAAUAACUAGUGUACGUAUUACAUAAGUAGUGUUAGUACAAAUAUUGCAGGUUGGCAUUUGGACGAAAAUUCAAAGUUAACAUAAACCAAACCAGUCAUCUCCAUCCAAAAUGUGCUACUGUUAGUGGCAAUGUUAGGUAACACGGUUGUCAAAUUUGCAUGCUAGAAGAGCAAAACUAGGUUGUACAAAGAAGAUAAAGCCAUGAUAACUAUUAUCAAGAACAAAAAUGGCUCAUACUUGUACAUAUAUCCUGCCAAAACCAUACUACGGUAAGAGAUAGAGGUUAUUAGGGCAACUAACACAGAGCCGAUGGUAGUGCUACAUCAUUUCUUAACAUGUGUCUAUCUACCGCGAAAUAAAAGGUUCAUUUAUUUUGUGCCAGAGGUAGUAAUCUCCUCGACCAAACGUACACAGGCACACACACAAAACCGACCUCAGGUCAACUAACCAAAACAUAUUAGAUGAGCAGUUUGAGCAGUGGCCACAAUUUCCGCUUUGGUCCAUCCAUGUCAGUAUCACUAGUGCUUUAUAAACAUAAGUAGUCACUUUUUGGGGUAAAAAACUAAUGUUGGUAGCAGCACUUAUAGAAAAUCUAUUGGAAAAUAGCAGGGGCCAUGGAACGCACUUAUUCCACUAAUACUGGAAACUACUUGCAAUCAUGUUUGUACAAUAAUUCUCAAGGACAAACACAUGCAACAUGCAAACACAAAGUGCAGCCAUCAGUUAUGUGUUUCAUGCAGUUUAAUCAACAAACCUAUUUGAUUACCCAUAGAGAUAGAAUGACUCUUGAGAUGCUAGAAACUUACUCAAGUAUGUUAACAAAAAAUGCAUUUAAAAUUCAUAAUACUCACAAGGUAAAAUGCAACUUGCCGGUGACUCUUAUCAGCAGCAAGUUGGGCCGGACUUAACCCAGUAUUGUCUUGCACCAUAAGGUCCUUCUUCUUACCAACCUGAACUAACAGAGUACAUGACUCCAUAUUCCCCCGAAUGGCAGCCCAAUGUGAAGGAGUACAACCUACGGAAAGUAUUUAUGUCCAGAAUGAAUAUCAAGCUCCCAAAGAAACCAAUAGUAAGGAGAAUUCAUGCUUUCGUGAUUCAUCUUAAGGUGGUAGGAAGGCUUGUAAAAAAUUGAGUACAUAUCUUCUUUAUCUUGCCGCCCCCUAUAAGCGCCUAAAAACAAAAGGAGACGUAUGGAGUCUGCAAAUCCCUUAUAAGCAGCCCUACAAAUGUUAAGAAUAUUGACACAUCAAUAGGGCUACCAUGUAAUCAUGUUUCAAAGCAUAUUUAGAUGGGCACACAUGUAAAAAAGGAGAAAGUACAGACCAGUGAAGAGGAAUUCUGCCAUCAUUGUCAGGGACAUCAGGAUCAUCAUUCCAUUUUGAAAUAAUGUGAUAAAGAAAUGUUGUAUGAGCAUACCGUGCUGCAACAUGUGUGGUCUGUGACAUUACAGUAGAUUGAUUAAGGAACCAUAAAAAGAAAUACUCUGUAAACAAAGCUAACACUGGCUCAUCGAGUUAUUCUUAUGGUGAAACUUUUAUGUGCUACAAAUAACUAAAUAACUAGUGUACAUAUUACAUAAGUAGUGUUAGUACAAAUAUUGCAGGUUGGCAUUUGGAGGAAAAUUCAAAGUUAACAUAAACCAAACCAGUCACCUCCAUCCAAAAUGUGCUAGUGUUAGUGGCAAUGUUAGUAACACAGUUGUCAAAUUUGCAUGCUACAAGAGCAAAGUUAGGUUGUACAAAGAAGAUAAAGCCAUAAUAACUAUUAUCAAGAACAAGAAUGGCUCAUACUUGUACAUCUAUCCUGCCA
rnacentral:lncRNA from 1 species